AUUGAACGCUGGCGGCAAGCCUAACACAUGCAAGUCGAACGAGUGGCGGACGGGUGAGUAAUGUCUGGGAAACUGCCUGAUGGAGGGGGAUAACUACUGGAAACGGUAGCUAAUACCGCAUACCAUCGGAUGUGCCCAGAUGGGAUUAGCUAGUAGGUGGGGUAAAGGCUCACCUAGGCGACGAUCCCUAGCUGGUCUGAGAGGAUGAACAGCCACACUGGACGUGAGGCACGACCCAGACUCCUACGGGGGGCAGCAGUGGGGAAUAUUGCACCAUGGGCGCAAGCCUGAUGCAGCCAUGCCGCGUGUAUGAAGAAGGCCUUCGGGUUGUAAAGUACUUUCAGCGGGGAGGCGUUACCCGCAGAAGAAGCACCGGCUAACUCCGUGCCAGCAGCCGCGGUAAUUC
rnacentral:rRNA from 1 species